rfam:Ophiophagus hannah scaffold7043.1, whole genome shotgun sequence.
CUGCUCGCUUCGGCAGCAGAUAUACUAAAAUUGGAACAAUUCAGAGAAGAUUAGCAUGGC